AAGGUGGGGUAGAUGACUGGGGUGAAGUCGUAACAAGGUAUCCCUACCGGAAGGUGGGGAUGGAUCACCUCCUUU
rfam:Seinonella peptonophila strain DSM 44666 genome assembly, contig: Ga0131105_103